UGAGAUAAUAAAUUAAAAAUACGCGGAAGACGUUUAACAAAAAAAUAAUAGCAUAAUGCGGAAGAUUUGUAAUAUGUCUCUACCCAGUAUCUGGUGUCACUACUCACGAACAACUAAAACAGAGUACUAAAAACAUCAGUCUCAAGAAAUUGCUUAAUAAGUCUUUUUCGAUACAAUGAAAGCAAACAAAAUGAAAUAGAGGAGACUCAGGGCCCGCGAACACCAGCGAACUACCUAUGAGUCUCUGGGCUGAAGGCGCGCUCCCGAACUACUGUUGCGGGUCGUAAGCUGUCUCCUGACCUGUGCGCAAAAGGGCACAGAAGUGUAGUAUUAGCACAACCGACCUCAUGUGCUGGUAAGUGCCUAGCCUAACCCCGGCGAGGUAGUGACGAGGCUAGACCGGACCUACCGCAAUCAACCUGUACAGAUAUAUGUGCAAUAACGGAAAGAUAACAAAAUUUAAACAGCUAAUGGGGAGGGACAUGCUGGGGGUUGUAACAGUUCAAUUAUAAGUCCAAUGAACAAGAAAUUGAAACUGAAUAUUUAACAUCAAUAAAAGAAAGCUAGUGAAUCAACAAUUGCACGGCACCAACCUUCGUGCUUUUACUCUUAUUUCUCACCAAAACUGUCAAAUAUAGGGCACGACAUCUUCCUUCGUGCUUUCCUCACUAAAACUGUCAAAUAUAGUGCACGACAUCACCCUUCGUGCUUUCCUCACAUAACUCUCACAUCAAGGCACGGAAUAACCCUUUGUGCUCAAAUAAUCAAGAAACAUGACACAGAAAGACCCUUCGUGUAUAAUUAUCUAAACACAGUACGGAAAAACCCUUUGAGCAUAAUUAUCAAAACACGACACAGAAAGACCCUUCGUGCAUAAUCUCUCUUCCUCACCCAAUGAACAAUCACAACCAAACGGGGAAAGGAAUAUUCAACAGGAUUAAUCAUCCCGGCAAGGGAGAACAAUAUAACAAUAAGUCUCUACAAGGGAGAACAAUUCAACAAUAAGUCCCGGCAAGAAAAAACAAUUCAACAACAAGUCCCGGCAAGGGAAAAGUACCACACUUCCUUCUUUAACUUAUUUGCUUCUCAAUUAUCACUUUAUAAUUCAUUUAACAAGUAAUUAACUCAAUUGUUCACCUCUUUCGAAUUUAAAAGCAAUUACGACUCACGGUCAUGCUUGACUCUGGCGCAUAGGUAACCGUCACCAUACCUAUACACCGACUCUACAUAACACAUAGAAAAUAUUGUCCUAAGCAUAUUCCCUCAAGCCAAAGUUAGAUCAAACACUUACCUCGAAAGCUUCCAAGCUCAACUCACGCCUCUAGGAUAGCUUUACCCCUCAAAUUCGCCUCAAAACCGGUCGAAUCUAAUCACAAUUUACUCAAAUGUAUCAACAAAUGCUAGUUAAAUC
rnacentral:lncRNA from 1 species